UUCAGGCCUGAUUGCUCAUAGUACUUUCCCAAGCCCCUGCUUUUCUCACUAGCUCGUAACAUUGAACUCUAGCUACAGCUUGUUCCCCCCACAGUGUGUGGCUUUGCAAAUACGCGUCACACUUGCACUGUCCCAGCCACUAAGUGGGAGAUUCCGCUUAUCGACAGAGGAAUUCUGCGAGCCAAGGUGGCCACCAGAGCGCUAUCUACGGUCACCUUCAUGCAGCUAUCGUACCAGAGUAAAGCCAACUGGUCUGUCUGGGCACUGUCUUCAGUCUGGGGACCCACCUUCCAGGAAGGACACUCACGAGGUUGGGUGUGACAGAGAAUACGACACAGAUAGCCAGGUCCUGACCAUCGUGUCUGAGGAUACUCAGCUGAGGCCGCUGAGAUCAUUUAAACUGAAGAGCUAGAAGAGCUGGGUGGUAGAAACAUCCUACUCUGUGUCUUUCCAAAGAUGACCACUCUUCAAGUGAACGCCGAAGCUACAUGUCCCCCUCCCUAGGUGAGAGGCCUCUAUGUCGCUUCUAUUGGAAUGCUCCAGUCCUGUGGAGAGACUGUCCCUGACUCAAUAACUAACUGGAUCUAGAAGUACCUGGAGGCCAUUUUUUCCUGUGCAUGGGACAUAUCCUGGGAAGGACAGCUGCUGUGUCACAUGUGUUGAGAAGACACUCCUGAUUGUCACCGGCAGCACGGUACUUCAUGGAGCUGCCUGCUCUCGCCAGCAUUUGGCUCCUGUCAGCAUUGCCACUUAGCAGCGCCAUGACCUUGGCAAACUGUGCUGAGAGCUUCUCUGCUCGGGAACCACCGAUGUCUGUCCUCAGAGUAGUUCCACAGCACGUGACCAUCUUGAUGCAGGGUUGUCUGUCACUGGUACCAGGUCAGAGCCCUGAGAUGACAACACCUCCAUCAGGGCAGCAGCCCCACUGGGGGAUGGGUGAGGCAGGCUGGCUUCAGCUAUGCCUGCAGGAUGGAAAGGUUUUGAGAGACCUCCCUGUGGCAGGCAGAGAGGCCAGCGGGCUCCAGAAGUGCCCCAUGACUGAUCCUUGAUCCAUUCCUAUCUGGCUGAGACCUUGGGCAGGCCACUGACCUGAAAUGCAUUUUCUUUUUGCUUCCUCCUCUAGUGGAGAAUUCAAGGCAGAGUAUCACAACACCUGACACUACAUAAUAGCCAGGUUGUGUUGCGUUUAUUGAUCUAUAAAAUGCUCUUGCUUUCUAAAGCCCAUGAUCUCAUCCUAGAGGUCAAAGUCUUCUGGAGAUUUCCUCCUAUCCAGAUCUCCUGGAGUCCCUCUCUCCUGGGUAAUGUUUGCCCAACAUCUAUAAGGAGCAAGGUGCCCUCUAUGUAGCAGUGAGCAGUGUGUUGGUGCCAGGAAAGGCCAAAGGGACAAAGUGUGUCCAGGGCUCACUCUCAAAGUUAAUGAGUUCAUUAGGAUCAUGGAGAGUGCAGAGUUCUCAUCUCUGAGGCCCUGCAAGUCACUCCAGGGUCACCUGCUUUCUCAUGGUUCUACUCUGGUGUGUCUCCUGUCUACAUCAAACCUGCCUGCCCUGCUGCAAGGAAGUCAAGACAGAGGGAGAGAGACGUCAGGGCCACUGGCAAAGAGGAGACCUAAAGAUACUGGCCUGGAAGAAAGGAGCAGAAAUGAGAAGGCCCAUCUGGACAUCACCGUGCAGAGCGAGCCUCAGCAAUUAUCUUCCUGUUGGCUUCAGCCUUCCCUCAGCUGAAGGGAAAUCUUUCUUCUCCACCCCUUCACCAAACUGGCCUUUCAGGCUCUGUGGCUCAGGUUCACGGCCAGGUGGCCGAGUUGCAAAUCUGCGCAGCUUCUGCGGGCCCUACUUCCGUGGCCCUCCCCACCCCCACAGCAGCCAGGAGCAGAAUCAUCCCCUGAGGCUCCUUCGUGAAAAGGCCCUGAAGUCUGUGACUCCAAAACCCGACCUGAGCAGGAAACACGGACUCCAGCCAGCUUCCAGCCAGGAGAACUCCCUCUGCUCAGGACUGGUGCCAAAAGGCUGGGAAUGAGGCUCAGGUGGUAGGGGUGCCGGCCAGGCACGGACCAAGUCGUGUGUUUG